CCUGGAUCUGCAACUGCUGACUACACCUGCACAGCUGUAUCCACCUCAGGUUUUUGGAACAUGAGUCCUUCAAUCUUGCUGACUCUCCUGUGCUUGGGAAUAGCCUCCGCUGCUCCCACGACAGAUCACAGUUCAGAGGCUCAACCAACUCAGAGGACGGCAGCCCCCGGGAACGUCCUGGACACGGUUGAAGAUGUGAUCAAUAAUGUCGGGGCAGAGAAUAGCCCCAUCGUGCUUGAAAAGGACAAUCAGGAACCAAUUGAAGAACAAAAGGACUUCAGGGCUCCCUGUGGUGACAUAAAACUGCGGCUUAAAACAUCCA